rnacentral:lncRNA from 1 species
GGGGCCUCGCCCUCCUCAUCCUCGGGGCCUCCGCGCGUGGUCUCAGGGCCUUCAUCCCCGUCCUCCUCCUCCUCAGGGCCUCCAUCCUCAUCCUCUUCCUCCCCAUCCUCAUCCUCAGCGCCCCCACCUUCCUCCUCCUCAUCCUCAGUGCCUUCAUCCUCAGCUCCCUCCUCUUCCUCCUCCUCCUCCUCCUCAGUGCCUUCAUCCUUGUCCUCAGCGCCCCCAUCAUCCUCCUCCUCAUCUUCCUCCUCCUCACCUUCCUCAGUGCCCCCAUCUUCCUCAUCCUCAUCGUCUUCAUCCUCGUCCUCAGUGCCUCCAUCCUCAUCUUCCUCCUCCUCAUCUUCCUCCUCUUUCUCCUCAGUGCCUUCAUCCUUGUCCUCAGCGCCCCCAUCAUCAUCAUCCUCAGCAUCUCCAUCCUCAUCUUCAGCGCCUCCGUCCUCAUCUUCCUCCCUCCUCCUCUUCCUCCUCUUCCUCAGUGCCCCCAUCUUCCUCAUCCUCAGCGCCUCCAUCCUCAUCCUCCUCAUCCUCAUCUUCCUCCUCCUCAG